rnacentral:ncRNA from 1 species
AAAAAUGCUGAGAAAAGAAGAGUAUAUAUGGAAUGCUGAACAGAGAACCUUGCCGGAAGAAAUUCUUAAGUGCUGAGAGCAGGGGACAGUGGAACAUAUAGAAGAUGGUCUUGGAGCUGCGUAGCUGAGGUUUUAAGCUUAGGUUACGACGUAUUCACACGUUAACGUGAGAGACUGUGUUAGCAGUCGGUAAGAUACUAGCUGAAAAGUUAGUAUGAAUUAAAGUGGCACCACGGGAGAUACUCUCGUCUUUAAA